AUGGGGGGAAAGAGGGAAGGCGAGGCAAAGAGGGGGGAAAUGUGGAAAACUAAGACUUCAUCAAAGGACAGUGACGAACUGUAUGAAAUGAGAUUUUCUUCCCUGCUUGCGCUGUGCCUAAGAAACAAGUUUUCACUUGGAAAUGCUGACUCCUCCCACAAAGUAAUGCUACUUCUAUUUUCUCUCUGGUUAAUUGCUCAGGUCCCUAGGAGGGAAUGGAGCAAUGCUGUAAGCACAGAUGUUGUGUCUGCUAAUCCCCAAUCACCCAAGAACUACUGGAUUUUCCUGUCUCUUAUGCAGGUAGACCACCUAAUCCCCUGGAGAUCCCAAUCAGCGUGGACAAAGAGUUGUAGGUACUACGAAAUACGCUUGGCACACGGGGGAUUUACUGCUGGGAGAUGAUUAACAUUCUUGAGGUAAUUUUAAAUUAAAUUAAGGAAACCAUAGCAUCAAAUUGUAGCACUUCCAAAUAAUCUCUGUAAUGGAAUAGCGUGUCUAGAUGUCUGUGACAUGUUUAAUUUCUUUUAGGCUGGAUUUCUAAUUUUAUUUAACCAGUGUGUGAAACCGUAUAACCAGAAGCCCAAGAUGUGCUUUUUGGAAAAGUAUGAAUACCUCCUUGGCAAUACUUGAGAGGAAAAAUUUAGGUAGGCUGCAGGGCAUAGGCCAAAAAGCUUGUCACUUUGGAUGUAGAAAAUGAGGUCAUUAUAAUUUCUUUUCUGCUGUUUUUAAACAGAUUGAUGGAUAAAAUAUUAUCCAGAAUAGCAAGUUGAUUGUGUAAUCUGUGUUUUCUGUUCAUCAAAUAUUGAGCCACUUCUGAUCGACUUAAGGGAAGGAAGGAAAUAUGAGGAGAAUACAUUGCAGAAUAGUUGGUUUGCAGUGAUUUUUCUGGGCACAGUUAUCAUAGACAGUAUGUUUUCCAUAAAUACAUGGUUCGUAUAUGAGAUUUUUGAACGUUGCAUUUCUGUUAUGCAAUAGCAUAGGCAUAAAAGUAGCCAAAUUGCAUUGGCUUUAAUUUAUAAUGUAAUUCCUCCAGAAAGGCAGUCACUACAAAGAGUUUCAAUGCAACUGCUUUGGCAAAUAACACUUGAUUGCUUUCAUCUGAAAACACCUCAGCUACAUAAGAAAAACAACAAAGCAAAUGGUCCUUUUCCCAAGACAUUCUUAAAGAUUUGUGAUUCAUUGUAGCAAAAUAAAGCGAGGGAUUUUAUUCUAAUUCGUAUAUAA
rnacentral:lncRNA from 1 species